GUUCAUCAUUUUAUUAGUCGUACAAAGAACCUUAGAGCCUAAAGUACUUUUGCAAUAUGAAAUUAUUUCAAAUUAUUGUUGCAGUUUCCUGCAUUAUUGCCUUCGCCAUGGCAACUCCAGGCAAUAAUGCAAUUACGGGAAAUGGUAAUGCUCAGAAUACACAGAAGAAUAGCGAUUUCGGUUUUAAAAUAUUGGGAUAAUUUACAGAUAUUUAUAUGAAUGAUAUUAUUGUUAUAAAUAAAUGGUAAAAUGACAUCUUAAUUGUAA